UAGAGCAGAAGAUUCAGUCUCAUUAAAAUCCUCUCCCAGUCUGUACUUCUGUCACUGCUGCAGAUUCGGUGAGGAGCCUAGUGAUGAAUGGGAACCGGAAUGACUUCUUUUCUUCUUACUUCUUAUUUUUCAUCUUCUUAUAUGCUGCAGCCCAUCAGUGGAAAUGAGGUGGAAAAUGUUGUCUCUUCCUCAUCUGGUCUCUGUGCUGACCUCUCCGUCUCAGACGACUGCCACAGCUCACAGUUCUUUGAGAGACCAGAUUACAGCGGACCAACUAAAACAGAACUACUUUUCUGCUGCCCAUCUUGUGCGUCUGAUGCUGUUGCCUCUUCUACCUUGAUUGGGUGCCACUGAUCACCAGCCUUCUGGACCAGCUUGACCACCACUGAGCUUCUUGCUUUACAACGCUGUGCAAUCCUCACCCUGAGAUCUUUUCUUUUCCCACUUUGUACUAUAAUACUUCAUACUAAUA